GAGUUUGAUCAUGGCUCAGAUUGAACGCUGGCGGCAGGCCUAACACAUGCAAGUCGAGCGGUAGCACAGGGAGCUUGCUCCUGGGUGACGAGCGGCGGACGGGUGAGUAAUGUCUGGGAAACUGCCUGAUGGAGGGGGAUAACUACUGGAAACGGUAGCUAAUACCGCAUAACGUCGCAAGACCAAAGAGGGGGACCUUCGGGCCUCUUGCCAUCAGAUGUGCCCAGAUGGGAUUAGCUAGUAGGUGGGGUAAUGGCUCACCUAGGCGACGAUCCCUAGCUGGUCUGAGAGGAUGACCAGCCACACUGGAACUGAGACACGGUCCAGACUCCUACGGGAGGCAGCAGUGGGGAAUAUUGCACAAUGGGCGCAAGCCUGAUGCAGCCAUGCCGCGUGUAUGAAGAAGGCCUUCGGGUUGUAAAGUACUUUCAGCGAGGAGGAAGGCAUUGUGGUUAAUAACCACAGUGAUUGA
rnacentral:rRNA from 1 species